UGGUAUGAAGGAAACCAACUCUAUACUGUAUUAGGUUAUGUGGUAUUAAGGAAACCAACUCUAUACUGUAUUAGGUUAUGUGGUAUUAAGGAAACCAACUCUAUACUGUAUUAGGUUAUGUGGUAUUAAGGAAACCAACUCUAUACUGUAUUAGGUUAUGUGGUAUUAAGGAAACCAACUCUAUACUGUAUUAGGUUAUGUGGUAUGAAGGAAACCAACUCUAUACUGUAUUAGGUUAUGUGGUAUUAAGGAAACCAACUCUAUACUGUAUUAGGUUAUGUGGUAUUAAGGAAACCAACUCUAUACUGUAUUAGGUUAUGUGGUAUUAAGGAAACCAACUCUAUACUGUAUUAGGUUAUGUGGUAUUAAGGAAACCAACUCUAUACUGUAUUAGGUUAUGUGGUAUUAAGGAAACCAACUCUAUACUGUAUUAGGUUAUGUGGUAUUAAGGAAACCAACUCUAUACUGUAUUAGGUUAUGUGGUAUUAAGGAAACCAACUCUAUACUGUAUUAGGUUAUGUGGUAUGAAGGAAACCAACUCUAUACUGUAUUAGGUUAUGUGGUAUGAAGGAAACCAACUCUAUACUGUAUUAGGUUAUGUGGUAUUAAGGAAACCAACUCUAUACUGUAUUAGGUUAUGUGGUAUUAAGGAAACCAACUCUAUACUGUAUUAGGUUAUGUGGUAUUAAGGAAACCAACUCUAUACUGUAUUAGGUUAUGUGGUAUUAAGGAAACCAACUCUAUACUGUAUUAGGUUAUGUGGUAUUAAGGAAACCAACUCUAUACUGUAUUAGGUUAUGUGGUAUUAAGGAAACCAACUCUAUACUGUAUUAGGUUAUGUGGUAUUAAGGAAACCAACUCUAUACUGUAUUAGGUUAUGUGGUAUUAAGGAAACCAACUCUAUACUGUAUUAGGUUAUGUGGUAUGAAGGAAACCAACUCUAUACUGUAUUAGGUUAUGUGGUAUUAAGGAAACCAACUCUAUACUGUAUUAGGUUAUGUGGUAUUAAGGAAACCAACUCUA